GACCUGAGUGUCCUCAAACGCCUCUUUGGGUGUUUCUCCUUCUUUCCAAGAUUCGUCUUUCCUGAAAUUCGUGGAGCUUGUUGUUGGUGUGUGUGUUUGAAGAAACUGUGGAGUCCCGCCUCCUUCCAGGAAGCCGCCCACCUGUGUGUCCGUGUUUAGUGUCCAGGUGUGGAGCUUGUUGUUGGUGUGCGUGUUUGAAGAAACUGUAGAAAGUGUGUGUGAGC